UAAAGGAAACCUCCAAGUGAUGGGCAUAC
rnacentral:piRNA from 1 species